rnacentral:rRNA from 1 species
CUCGUAGUUGGANUUGUGGCAGUCGCAUGCGGCCCGGCAUUCGUGUCGGUGUUUGCUCGCGUCGCCAUCCUUGGGUGGAACCUGUGUGGCAUUAGGUUGUCGUGCAGGGGAUGCCCAUCAUUUACUGUGAAAAAAUUAGAGUGUUCAAAGCAGGCUUAUGCCGUUGAAUAUAUUAGCAUGGAAUAAUAAGAUAGGACCUUGGUACUAUUUUGUUGGUUUGCGCACCAAGGUAAUGAUUAAUAGGGACAGUUGGGGGUAUUCGUAUUCCAUUGUCAGAGGUGAAAUUCUUGGAUUUCUGGAAGACGAACUACUGCGAAAGCAUUUACCAAGGAUGUUUUCAUUAAUCAAGAACGAAAGUUAGGGGAUCGAAGAUGAUUAGAUANANNCGUAGUCA